UACGGGGGGGGCAAGCGUUGUUCGGAAUUACUGGGCGUAAAGGGCGCGUAGGCGGCCUGCUAAGUCGGACGUGAAAUCCCUCGGCUUAACCGGGGAACUGCGUCUGAUACUGGAUGGCUAGAGGUUGGGAGAGGGAUGCGGAAUUCCAGGUGUAGCGGUGAAAUGCGUAGAUAUCUGGAGGAACACCGGUGGCGAAGGCGGUUCUCUGGGCCUGUACUGACGCUGAGGAGCGAAAGCGUGGGGAGCGAACAGG
rnacentral:rRNA from 1 species